rnacentral:tRNA from 1 species
GCGGGCGUGAUGGAAUGGUAGACAUAUCGGACUUAAAAUCCGAAGGGCCUGUGCCCGUGUGGGUUCGAGUCCCACCGCCCGCACCA